rnacentral:rRNA from 1 species
UACGGGGGGAGCAAGCGUUGUUCGGAUUUACUGGGCGUAAAGGGCGCGUAGGCGGCCAGUGCAAGUCAGUUGUGAAAUCUCCGAGCUUAACUCGGAAAGGUCAACUGAUACUGCUCGGCUAGAGUGCGGAAGGGGCAACUGGAAUUCUUGGUGUAGCGGUGAAAUGCGUAGAUAUCAAGAGGAACACCUGCGGCGAAGGCGGGUUACUGGGCCGACACUGACGCUGAUGCGCGAAAGCUAGGGGAGCGAACGGG